UGGCUCAGGAUGAACGCUGGCGGCGUGCCUAAUACAUGCAAGUCGAGCGAACAGACGAGGAGCUUGCUCCUCUGACGUUAGCGGCGGACGGGUGAGUAACACGUGGAUAACCUACCUAUAAGACUGGGAUAACUUCGGGAAACCGGAGCUAAUACCGGAUAAUAUAUUGAACCGCAUGGUUCAAUAGUGAAAGACGGUUUCGCUGUCACUUAUAGAUGGAUCCGCGCCGCAUUAGCUAGUUGGUAAGGUAACGGCUUACCAAGGCAACGAUGUGUAGCCGACCUGAGAGGGUGAUCGGCCACACUGGAACUGAGACACGGUCCAGACUCCUACGGGAGGCAGCAGUAGGGAAUCUUCCGCAAUGGGCGAAAGCCUGACGGAGCAACGCCGCGUGAGUGAUGAAGGUCUUCGGAUCGUAAAACUCUGUUAUUAGGGAAGAACAAAUGUGUAAGUAACUAUGCACGUCUUGACGGUACCUAAUCAGAAAGCCACGGCUAACUACGUG
rnacentral:rRNA from 1 species